CUACAUAGACUGAUGAGAAAAGAUUAAAAAAUAUACAGAGUAGAACAAUAUUGAUAAUAUGUAUAGAAAAAUUAAUUCCCUAGAAAGGCACAGAAAAUGUCUGAAAGAACACCACACACACACACACACACACACACACAUGUAUAUAUUACAACUCUUAUGAAUUAUUCUAAGAAGUUCAUACAGGAUAUUGGCAAGAUAAGCCAAGAGUUUGACUUUGUCUCUAUUGCUUGAACAUAUUACCAUGAACAUGUAUUCUAUGUUAUAAAAUUUUUAAAGAAUCUUUAGUAACAUGGGACAAUUCAUAGUUUGGCUUUGGAAUGUCCCCCCAAGGCCCAUGUAUUAAUGGUUUAGUCCUCAGCUUGGUGCUUUGGAGAACUGGCAGAAUCAUUAAGAGGGGGUGCCUAGUGGAAGGUCUUGGGUCAUCUGGGAUAGCCCUUGAAGGGGAAAAUGUAACCCUAACCUGUUAUCUCUUUUUCACUCUGGCCAUGAGGUGAGGGCUUCCUCUACCACAUGCUUCUUCCUUGCUGCAGACCCAAAAGUAAUGGACCAGCAACCAUGAACUAAAACUUCCAAAACAAGGAACCAAAAGAAAUCUUUUCCCUUCUUGAUUAUCUCAGGUAUUAAGUUACAACAAUGAAAAGCUGACUAACAGGUGAUAUUUAGAAUUUAUAGUUAACUGGAAAAACAAAUUAUAAAACAAUAAGUUAAACAUCCUACUUUGGAAAAUAAAAUAAUAUCUAUGCAAAGAAAAAAGAUUGGCUGAUAUAUACCAAAAACAUUAGCAAUGCCUUCAAAGUGGAAGGAUUUGGGUAAUUUUUAUUGUUCUGUACUAAUCUCUUUUAUAGAUACUUUAUAGUGGGCAUGCAUUAUUUUUGUGAUCAGAAAAAGCUUUAAAAGUCACAUCAGGAUUUAUGAAUUUCUGUGCAUAGAUCUCUGUAAGAUAUUUUUAAUUUUCUGGAGCUUUUGCUUUUCUUUCCCCAAAGCUUUGCACCACUCUUCUCUCUUUCUCCCACUCCAGUCACCUUUUUCACCUUUUUCAUGUUUGUCUCGUCAGGUAUUGCUUAUAAAAUAGAUGUACUUCACUAAUACCUCUGAAAGAAGAAAUUUCUGGUUCAUGGAGCCAGAAGACAAUUGGAUACAAAAAAGAAAAAUAUUUCUUUCUUUCACCAAAUAUCAGUCAUGCAAAUUUAAUCCUAGAAUUUCUCCUCCAUAUAUGACCAAUUUAAUUUUUAUUUUGUUUAAAAUAAGCAGCAAAUAAUUUUGAGGUCCUUCAAAUUCUUUCAAAGUCAUUUAUAUAAUUAUACUCAGCUUUGUUUCAGAAAGGAUUUAGAGUAGCUAGUAAAAACACUAAAGUUCAAAAAAUAAAUAAAAUACAAAGUAAAAUGUAAAAUGAGAGAGUGAAGAAAGCAGAACAAGGAAAAUGUGACAGAAUGAGAGGGAAAAUAAAAUUAUAAGAUGAAAUCUAUUCCUUAGGGGCCAGUACUCUCCUUGAGAGGGUUCACUAGCUUUUGUAAGCAACCCCUUAACUUCCCUUCCCACGAAAAGAGAUUGUAAUUGGAGUGGAUCACACUUUCCUAAGACUAAAAGCCAGAAGGAAAUUACUCCAGUGCAUGAUACAUGUUUAGACAAUAAUAAUGACAGCAACAUCUAUUGAGGCUUCCUGUGAGUCAAGUGCAGUGCCAAGCUCCGUAAGCCAUGAUUUUAUUUACUCUUCAUAAUGACCCCAUUUUUAAUGGGUUUGUUAGUUAGCUUUCCAUUACUAUAACAAACAUUUGAGAUAAUCAACUUAUAAAAAGAAAAGGUUUAUUUUGGCUUAUAAUUUUAGAAGUUUCAGUGAGAAAAGGUUUAUUUUGGCUUAUAAUUUUAGAAGUUUCAGUCCAUGAUUUGGUGGCCCCGUUGCUUUGAACCAGUGGCAACACAUCACAGCAAGAGUGUGUGGCCAAGCAAAAACACUUCACCGCUGGGAAGUGAAAGAGAAGAAGAGGAAGACCAAGGUUCCCAUAAUUUCCUUUGAGGGCACAUCCCCAGUGACCUAAAGAUCACUAGGCUCCACCUCUAAAAGAUUCCACCUCCUCCUCCUAAUAGCACCAAGCUGGGGAUCAAGUCUUUUAACAGGUGGACCUUUGUGGGGACAUUUAAGAUCCAUACUGUAGCAGUGGGGAACAUUUAUUGCUGCUUCUCAUGUUUCCACCAUUGAUAGUUUGGGGAAGAAGCUGAUUUCUAAUUAACUUCCUAGGAAGAAAACAUCUGGGAGGACCUACCUGAGCUCCUCAGUUUUGCCCUCCCCCCUUACUUCUUCCUUCUCAGAAGGAGUUUGAUCGAGUUUGCGAAUUUAAGAAAUGAAAUGAGCAACUGCAGUUCCUCUAGCCUAAGUGGAUCUCUGCUCCUCCAUUCACUACCUUUGCUCUGAGAGCUCUGCCUCUGUACUUCUGGGAUGUUGAUGUUUUUCUCAAUUCAGGUUUAUCAGCAGUAAACCUGGCCUUGUCCACAAGCUGUUAUCUGAAACUUUUGGGGCCAGGUGAGUUUUAAAAUACAGAAUUUUCAGAUUUUGGAGAGAUUGUAUGGUUCACAAACAGAUUUUGAAGCAACAUCCUAUCAAACAUAUUAGGAUUUCUGUAAUAAAGGAUAUGAAUAUCCACACCAAGUGAAAUAAAUUAAGACUAUAUCAUAUCAAUUCAGAUCACGUUUUACUGUCAGAUGAAUUCAGAUGAUAUUAAAUUUUGAUGCCAAAUAAAUUACAAAAGCACUUUAAAUUUUUAGAGAUGUUUAGAUUUUGGAAUUAUAGAUAAGGGAUAUUUGGCUGUCUUUUGAUCUCCAACUGUCUGACUUCUGUGUCUACUUUCUCUUAUUGGUUCUUGGCUUGGAGAGUGAAAGAAGGCCAGAGUGAAUACACCAAAAAGGUAAGGAAGCUUCAAUUUUAGCCAUCCUCAGUUGUACAGGCCUUUUCUUUAUACCCACAACUUAUAAGUUUAAAUUUUUUUUCUUAAAAAUAUAAAUUUUAGGGGCUGGGGCUAUGACUCAGUGGUAGCACACUUGCCUGGCAUGUGUGAGGCACUGGGUUUGAUUCUCAGCACCAUGUAUAAAUAAAUAAAAAUAAAGGUCUAUCAACAACUAAAAUAUUUCAGGGCCCACAGAGAAAGAUAUAUCACCCUUGGAGAAAGGUAUGAUUGCCUUCCCUGAAAUUCUGAUGGCCAGAAAGUAGUUACUAUUAUCAUCACCAUCUUACUUGUGUAUGUGUACAGACUGAGGCUUAAGAGCUUAAAUCCCCUAGCAUCCAGUUACAAGUGACAAAGUCUAGUUUUAAACCCAGACGGUGUAACUUUUGGGUUUGUGCCUUUAAUCACUGCCUUUCUCUAUCUGUGGAUAAAUAUAAUAGUUGACAUUCUAUUUCUAGCUAAAGUAAAUCCUAGAGUGUCGCGACCCCUUGCCCGCAAGGAAGACGCAACUCAGGAAUCUUCUUUCAGCAGUUUAUUCAGGCCCUGGAUAUUUCUUCUUCUUUUUCUCGGGUGCCCCUCCCAGCCUUAAUAAAGCAUCCCAAGCCCCAAUGCAAAGCUGCCGCGUGGAACUUUCUCACAGGGUGAUGAAAAAUCAUGUGCCAACUUUCCCAGAUAAGAAGUUGUUUGUCACAGACCACAGCGGAGCCAGCGCCAUCUUGUAAUGGCGACCAUAAUCUGCAGAAACGGCAGAAGCGGCUCACCACAGUUCCCCCUUUUCUGUUUUCUUAAAACAAUACAGGCGAGAGUAGAGGUCCUAUCCCACUGUGCAGAAGUGGCUGCAUAGUAUGGCUCAGUCCCAAGGAGGGCCCUUCCCCAGAUCUGAGGCCAUAUCAGCCGACGCCUUUUUUCGUGGGGCGGGGCGUGAACGCGUCUAACCCGCAUGCAAUAGGACAUGCUCUCCUUGAGGUCCUCUUCAAGGAUCACUCAAGUGCAGUGCCUUGCCUCGCAUCCUGUAUCGUGACGAUGGUGGACGAAGGGGGAUAGCUGAGGCUGAACUGUGGCUGUUUAUAACGACAAACAAGUUGACAGCACCCUGAAAGAAAGGCACGAACUUCAAGGCGAUAGAAAAGUACUAGUGUGGAAACCCAUCUGCGUGCAAUGGCAGUAAGACCGGCAGAGUGCAAGGGCUUUCCAACACUAAGAGAAUAACAAGGAAAGUCAUGUCGAUCCCAGUGCAAUGUUAUAAUAACUUGGGGUGUAACGACCAUGACAAAGGUUUACUGCUUAAGAUGCGCAAGCCAGACUUGAGGCGAGUUGCCAUUUUCUAAAGCUGCAAGAGCUUGUAUGAUCAUAGCCUUUUCUUGUGCAUGGCGAGUUUUAAGGCGACAGAGAAGCCACAAACAAAGUACAACACUGAAGCAACACAUUGCACCAAAAAUGCCUAUUCCCACCCACUCUUUGAAGAAGGAAAAAGCAGAAGAUAUCCAAUCGGUGAAUUGACCCAAAGUCACNCUGUAAGGCAACCACGGACCAUUUUCCAAAGGGGUAUCACCCCACCCUCUAAUAUGCCCUGCUCAGAAGCAAAGUCAAGAUCUUUGCCUAAUUUAUCCCAACUAGGCACAGUAAGGCUGCCCGAAAAUGCAAACCACGGUGCAGCGAUAUCUAUCUUCUGUAAAAAUCUCUGUAAAGUACUAUGUUUCACUUCCAGUCCCUUGGAACGUAACAGGCCAUCUAGGGCCAGGAGAAGCGGACUUGAAGAUGCGGCACCCAUGACACAACAACAAAGGAAGCACAAAAAACAGAAAGCGAAAGUAGAAGCGAAAGUACACAGUGCAGCUGCAAUAAAAUGUAAGGCUCUCUCUUUCAUUACAGAGGAGCUGUCCCGCUUUGGUCGCGGAUCCCACUUACUAGGGACUAACCCCGCUUUGAUCGCGGAUCCCACUUAUUGGGACUAACCCCGCUUUGGUCGCGGAUCCCACUUACCUGGGACUAACCCCGCUUUGGUCGCGGAUCCCACUUACCUGGGACUAACCGGUGCACCACCCCUGACUGCUGAAAGUUCUGGUUCCCGGGUCUCGGCACCACUUGUCGCGACCCCUUGCCCGCAAGGAAGACGCAACUCAGGAAUCUUCUUUCAGCAGUUUAUUCAGGCCCUUGAUAUUUCUUCUUCUCCCUCUCUGAUGCCCCUCCCAGCCUUAAUAAAGCAUCCCAAGCCCCAAUGCAAAGCUGCCGCGUGGAACUUUCUCACAGGGUGAUGAAAAAUCAUGUGCCAACUUUCCCAGAUAAGAAGUUGUUUGUCACAGACCACAGCGGAGCCAGCGCCAUCUUGUAAUGGCGACCAUAAUCUGCAGAAACGGCAGAAGCGGCUCACCACACUAGAGAAUAUUCUUUAUCCACAGAAAAAUAACCUAAAGAAUCUUAAUUUCUAUCAUUCUCAGUCUAUAGCCUAAAGUCCUCUAGUAACUCAGAAAAAGUGCAUGUAGUAACCUUCCUUCUCCAGAGAAUCCUGGGGAUUAAAUCCUGUUGGUACAUUACAAUUCUCCUGAUACUGAGCCUUCAAAAUUAAGCAGACUUUCCUCUUUUCCCCAAAAAAUUUCACUCACCAACAUAUUAAGUAUGUUUGAAUUUCAUAAAAUUCAAUCUGAAAGUCAGUGAAACUGUAUACACAGGAUCCUCUAACAUUUCCAUAAUAGUGAAUGGUCUCAAGUUUUUAUUUCUCUACAUAACUCUAUACAACAACCCUAUGAGAAAUGGAAAGCACCAAAUACCCACACUUUAUAAAUGAUAAAACUGAGGACCAAAGGAAGUAAUUUUACUAGUUGGCAAAAUUGGCAACCAAGCCUGGGACAUUUUCCCCUUACUAUAACCAUGUCUUUUUUAUAUAAAUGCUUGAGGGACUUGUUUCUCCUAAGGGGGAAAGUAGAAGAUGGUUUAUCUAAACAGCAUCAACUGUGGACAUGGUAGUUACAACUUGUUUCAUGCAUUACUUUAUCUGCUGAUGAAUUUUCCCUCAAACAACAAAACCAUUCACACUGUUUUUUUUUUUUAAAUUUUAUUCCCAGAUUCUCCAACUGGAAUAAGAGACCAAUAAGGAAAAUUUUGUUUUACUCCUCAUAAUUACAAUAAUGAUUAAAUACAUUUUAUUAUGAAAGUAAAUAAAAUUACAGAGAAUAAUAAGAGGAUAACAAUGAUAUCCAUCACCCAGCUAUAACACACCUUAACAUUUUGCCACUUGUUUCCUUUAGGCUUUUUCUUAAUUAAUAAAGUCCUUAUAAAUGUUCUCCAGUUCCAAUUUUUUCUUCCACUAUCCAGAAGUAACAGUAAUCUGAAUUUUGUAUUUUAAUCCAUAAAUAUUUAAUAAUACUUUUUCAUUUAACAUUUUUAAAUGUAAGUUUUUUAUAUAAGUUUCUCAUUUUAAAACUACCAUUUCACAGUAUGAUUUUUACACUCAGUGUUUUGAGGUUUAUAUUGAAACUUAAAGCUAAGAGAUUUAUGCCUUCAGCUUUUGUGAUACUAUGAAUGAGGUCUUUGUUUCAAGUACAUUUUCUAAUUGGUUAGAGCCAGUAUAUGGGAACUCUAAUGACUUGGAAUCAAAGAACCUUUCUCAACUCAUUUAAUAAUUUACAAUAGUUUAUAGUUUCAUCAAAUUUUCUACAUGGGCAAUCAUCUGAGAAUAAGGACAAGCAAGCAGUUCUAGAAUGAUCAUCUUUCUCAGUGUGAUCUGCUACUCUGCAGAAUAAAAAGCUCACAGGAUAUCUGAUUUCUAAACUAAGAUCACUCUCCAGUACCUACAAACCUAUGUUCGUAUGCAGUUAUUCAGGAUUCUCCUAUUUCCCAUCUUGAAUGCUUUACAAGAUAUAUUAUUCUAAAGAUGCUCUUUUCUUGCUCUGUCACCCAAAUAUUUUAUUUCCCAGAGAUUUCUUGAUUUGACUUCAAACGGAGCACUCUAAAACAAAGAACUGGAAACAAAUGCAAAGCGGUAUUUUUUAUUUCAAGAAAAGCAUAUUACCUCAUUUAAAAACGAUGAGAUUUUUAGAGAAACGUUCUUUAGAUUUAGGAAUCUUCUAAUUAGAUUUCUACAUGAAUAGAUUGAAGCAAAGAUUCUCUUUUUGUUUGUCAACACAAAUUGGAGAAAAAAUAUGAGUUCAACAUCAUCUGCUCUCAUAGAGAAGAAAAGUAAAGAGUCACAUGAAAAUAAAGGUCAAAGACCUAUUAUUAUCUUUUUGGCAUUUAUUCUGACCUCCUAACAUUGCUAGGAAAAAAAGACCAGUAAUCUUAAUAAAGCAAGAGUCUCCUGGGAAAGCAUCGUCUGGUUUCCAUGUGAACAGGAAGCCAGAGCUUUGACUAUGUCCUUCCUUAUUAUUUUGAAAUGACACUGUUAAAAGCUGUUUUCUUUAAACUCUGCACUAUAGAAAACAUUACCAAAUAAAUAUGUGUCAAUUAGUGUUCUUUGGAUGCAAACAAAUAAACCAACUAAACAAAAUGUUACUGGAAAUAUUUUGGGGAUAUACUCUUCAGAAAUUGUUUAUGUAGGCUCCACUGUGUUCCAGUCUUGUUACUCCACUAAAGAUCCAGACCCCUGGAAAAGAGACUGAUUUGCCUGAUUCAUUCCAUGUGUUCCCUCCUUGAUAUGUGUGUUGGUGGCUGAAGGAGGAUACAUUUGCUUUCAUGUCCUUCCAAGACUACAUCUGAUGGUGAAGGGAAAGUUCCCAAGGAAAUCUGGGCUUUCUUAUUCAGGAAGUGGCUGUACAGGAGGGUACAGCACAUGUUCAUUGCAUCCCUUCUGUUGUGUUUUAUAACAAGGCUUAAUACAGAGUCUCCAGGCAGAACCUCCCAGCAGUACCACUGGAGAGGUUUAGGACCCCAGAAAGAGGUGAAUCCAAUGAAAGCAACUGGAGAAUUGGGGGAAGGAAGCUUCCAUCAGGUCCAUAGCAGGCAUCCAGCUGCCAGUAUGAACCCAGUGCUCUAAAGCAGCCUAUCUCACACAUGAGCAAUGGGAAUGGGGCCUUGAAACUGAUGAGAGUGUUCAGUGAGCACUUAGAGGUAGGCUGACCUAGGAAGCUUCCAGGAGAGCAAAAAGAGUGCCCCCCCUCCAGGGUAGACUGACUUCUCUUUCUUUUCCCUCCCUCCCUCCCUCCCUCCCUCCCUCCCUCCCUUCCUUCCUUCCUUCCUUCCUUCCUUCCUUCCUUCCUUCCUUCCUUCCAUUCAGAGCAGGUAGCUCCCCUUAGAGACUUCUUUGGUCCCCAUCUCACAGUUCAGCUCUUAGCUUGAAUACAGAACUCUGUUUUUUUCCUAAAACAUCAUUCCCAGCCAGACACAGUGGCACAGGCUUGUAAUCCUAGUAGCUCUGGAGGCUGAGGAAGGAGGAUCACAAGUUCAAAGCCAGGCUUAGCAACUUAGUGAGGCCCUUAGCAACUUAGUGAGACACUGUCUCAAAAUUUAAAAAUAACAUUAAAAGGGUUGGGGAUAUAGCUCAGUAAUUAAGCACCCCUGAAUUCAAUCCCUAGUACAAAAAAAUCACUCCCAUCAUCCUUGAUUUGCUUCUCUGUUGCUUCUGUUGAUCUUGACUGUAAGGCAGGAAAUGUGCAAAUCUAGAGUAGACUCUGGCAUUCCAAUCAUGGCUCUUCUACCACCUUGCUGGGUGACCUACCUUAUCAGUCCCUGUCCCAGAUGACUUGAGUGACUGCUGCUGCAAUACUUACAGUUUUACUUUUACUUACCUGCCCUCUGUCUUGAUGAGACUUAUUAAGAAACCAAAUCAUAGAAUUAUACCCAUUUCUUGUUAGCGUCCAAUUUAGGGGAAGUCCUAGUCCUUAAAAUCUCUUCCAAAUCACCUAACACAAGACCAAAUUUUAUGACAAAUCCUUUCAAACACCCUUUAUUGAAUCAUUUCACCUUUGCCCAUGCUCUGAGUUUUCUCUCUAUAAUGAGAAAAUAACUUCACCUUUUCAACCAUAGGUGUGUUCCUGGGGCUCUUUAGCUGGAGGGUACUCACACAAUUAUGGGCAUUAAAAUUCAAGUGGUGUAGUUUGGCACCCUGUCUUCCCCACUUACCAUCUAUGUAACCUGAGCCUGGUAUCUGGUAUCUUAACCUCUGUGCCUUAGUUGCUUAUUUGUAAAAUAGAGGAAAUUACUACACUUUGUUCAUUGGAAUGUUGUAUUAGCAUGUAGGCACUUAGCACAGUGCCUGGCACCUAACAAGUUACCAAUAAUAUCAACUUUUUUUUCACUGAUUAUAUUUAUUCAUUUAUUUAUUUAUUUAUUUUGGUACCAGUGAUUGAACCUAGGGGCACUGAGCCCAUUCCCAGUCCUUUUUAUUUUUUUAUUUUGAGACAGGGUCUCACUAAGUUGCUUAGUGCCUUGCUAAGUUGCUGAAGCUGGCUUUGAACUUGCAAUCCUCCUGCCUCAGCCUCCUGAGCCACUGGGACUACAGGUGUAUGCCACCAUGCCCAGCUAAAACUUUUAUAUAUUUUUGAUAGUCAACAUGAUAGUUUGAAAUAUGUAUACACUGUUAAGUGGCUCAAUUCAGCUAUUAUGAGGCAUACUUAUUAUUUUUUGUGAUGAGAACACUUAAAAUAUACUCUCUUGACCAUUUUCAAAAUAUAUUUUUUACUUAGCCAUCAUAUUGUACAAUAUAUUUCUUUUAACUUAUUCCUCCUAUCUAACUGAAAUCUGUAUCCCUUGUCUAAUACCUCUUUUUUUGUUGAAUACAUCUUUUUUAAAAUAUUUUUUUUUAGUUGCUGAUAGACUUUUAUUUAUUUUUAUGUGUUCAUGAGAAUCAAACACAGUGCCUCACAUGCCAGGCAAGUGCUCUCUCACUGAGCCAUGGCCCCAGCCCCUAUCCAAUAUCUAUUUAUAUCCUCACCCCAAGCCCCUCAUAACUAUUAUUCUACUCUACUUCUGUGAGUUCAAUGUUUUCAGAUUCCACAUAUGAGUGAGAUAAUAUGGUAUCUUUCUGUGUUUGACUUGUUUCCCUUUGCAUAAUGUUCUUCAAAUAAUAAUGCUCACAAAUAAUAGAAUUUUCUUUUGUAUUAAGGCUGAAUAAUAUUUCACUGUUUAUAUAUAGCACAUUUUCAUUAUUCAUUAUUUCAUUAUCCAUUAUUCGUUAUUAUCCAUCUGUUAAUGAACAUGUAGGUUGAUUCCAUGUUAUGAAUGAUGAUGUAAUGAAUAUGGGAUUGUAAAUAUCUCAUCAACAUACUGAAUGCAUACCCCCUGGAUUUGUAUCCAGUAGUAGAAUUUCUGUCAUAUGAUGAUUCUAUUUUUAAUUUUUUGAGAAACUUCCAUACUAUUUGCCAUAAUGACCAUACUUGUUUGCAUUUCCUCCAACAGUGUGCCAGAGCUCCCUUUACUGAACAUUCUUGCCAACACUUGUCAUCUUUUCUCUUUUUGACAACAGUCAUUCUAAAAGACAGGAGAUGUUUAUUGUGAUUUUAAUUUAUAUUUCUCUCAUAACUAGUGAUGGUGAAUAUUUUUCAUAUACCCAUUGGCCAUUUAUAUCUCCUCUUUGGGGAAAUGUCUGUUUGAGUGAGAACUCAGCCCAUUUUUAAACUGGAUAUCUUAUAUUCUUGCUAUUGAGUUGUUUCAGUUCCUUUUACAUUUUGAAUAUAACCCCUUAUGGAAUAAAUGGUUUGCAAACAUUAUGACCCAUUCAGUAGUUUGUAUCUUCACUUAAAUGAUUGUUUCCUUUUUUAUAUAAAAGCUUUUUAGUUGAUGCAAUCUGAUAUAUUCUGGCUUUUAUUGUUUAUGCUUUUGUACUCAUAUCUAAAAUAUUAUUGCCCAGACCAAUGUCAUGGAGAUUUCCCCCUAUGUUUUUGUUAUGUUUUAGAUAUGUGAUGUCCUCAAAAGCUCAUGUGUGAGACAAUGCAAGAAUGUUUAGAGUUGUAAUGAUGAGGUGAUGUUGCCUAAUCAGUGGAUUCAUAAACUCAUAUGGACUAAGUGAGUGGUCGCUAUAGGCAGAUGGUAGUGGCUGCAAAAGGGGUCAUAAUUUUGGGGUUUAUAUUUUGUCCCUGGUAGCCGGAGCAUUCUCUCUCACUCUCCUUCUCCCUUCCUCUCUUUUUCUGUCUGUCUCUGCUUCCUGGUUUCCAUGUCCUAAGAUGCCAUCCUCUGCCCAUCCUUUUGCCAUGAUGUUCAGCCUUACCUGUGGCCCAGAGCUGUGGAGUUGGCUGGCCACGGAUUGGACCUCUGAAACCCAUGAGCCAAAAUAAACUUUUCCUCCUCUACAGUGUUCUUGUUGGGUCUUUUUUUGUCACAGCAACAACAACAACAACAAAACAAAACAAAAAAAAUCACAUCAAAAAAAUCCAACAGUUUUUAUUUGGUUGUUUAACAGUUCAGGUCUUACAUUAAAGUCUUUAAUCCAUUUUGAGCUGAUUUUUAUAUAUGACAUGUAAGAUAAAAGUCUAAUUUCUAGUUUCCUUAGCACCACUUAUUGAAGAAAUUGUUCUUUCCACAUUGUGUGUUCUAUACACCUUUGUUGAAAAUCAACUGACUAAUGCAUAGAUUUAUUUCUGAGCUCUCUAUUCUGUUCUGUUGGGCUGUGUGUCUGUUUUUAUGUCAGUACCAUGCUUAUAUGAGUACUGUGACUUUCCAGUAUAUUUUGAGGUUAGGUAGUGUGAUACCUCCAGCUUUGUACUUUUUGUUUAACAUUGCUUUGGUUUUUGGGGGUCUUUUAUGGUUCCAUAUACAGGUUAGGAUUUUUGUUUUGUUUUAGUUUCGUAAAGGAGUUAUUGGAAUUUUGAAAGAAGUUGCAUUGAAUCUUUGACUACUUUUGUAGUAUGGACAUGUUAACAAAAUUCUUCCAAUUCAUGAAUAUGAACAUGUAUUUGUGUAUUCUUCAGUUUCUUUCAUCAAUAUUCAUAGUUUUCAGUAUACAGGUCUUUACAUUUCUUGCUUAGCUUUGUUCUUAAGUUUUGUGGGGUUUUUUUGUAGCUAUUGUGAAUGGGUUUUUUCAAUUUCUUUCUCCUAUAGUUCAUUGUUGGCAUACAGAAUUGAUAAUUAUUUAUAUAUGUUGAUUUUAUAUUCUGUAACUUCACAGAAUUCAUUUAUUAGGUUUAACAAAUUUUUAGUGAAGUCUUGUGUUAGCUUCUCAUUACUUUGACCAAAAUACCUGAGAAAAUGAAAGGAGGAAAGGUUUUUUUGGCUCAUAGUUUCAGAGGUUUUAAGCCUAUGGUUGGCUGGCUCCAUUGAUUUGGGACUAAGGUAAGGCAGAACAUCAUGACCAAAGUGUGUGAUAGAGUAAAGCUGCUCACCUAAUGGUAGUUGGGAAGUAGAGAGAAGGGAAGAGUCUGGGAACAAAAUAUACCCUUCAAAGGCACACCCCAGUCAUCUACUUCAUCUAACCAAAUCUCACCGAGUAUAGUUUUCACCAUCUCCCAAUAAGGCCAUCAAAUUAUUAACCCAUCAAUGUAUUAAUGCACUGAUGGUAAGAACUCUCAUGAUUCAAUCACUUCCCAAGAGCCCCACCUCUGAACAUUGCUGCAUUGGGGACCAAGACUCAACACAAGCCUUUUGCAGGACAUUCCAGAUCCGAUCUAUAGCAAGUCUUCAGGGUUUUCUACUUACAAAUUGUGUCCUCUGAAAGCAGUGACAAUUUGAUUCCCUCUUUCCAAUUAAGAUGCCCUUAAUUUUCUUAUUUUGCCAGAUAGCUCUGGCUAGGUCUUCCAGUACUAUGUUGAAUGAAAGUGGUAAAAAUGGGCAUUGUUGUCUUCUAUAUCUUAGAAAACUUUAUGUUAUUCUCUAUUAGUAUGUUAGCUGUGGGCUUGAUAUGUAUGCCCUUUAUUGAGUUGCAUUUCUUCUAUAUUUAACUUGUUCAGUUUUUAUUAUGAAGGGAUUUUGAAUUUUAUCAAAUCUUUAAUGCAUCUAUCAAGAAAGUUGUAUCAUUUUGUCCUUUAUUCUAUUGAUAAGGUGUAUCAUAUUUAUUGAUUUGCAUAUGUUGAACCAAACUUGCAUCCCUGGGUUGAAUCCCACUUGAUCGUAGUGAAUAAUCAUUUUUUAAUAUUUAUUUUUUAGUUGUAGGUGGACACGCAUAUCUUUAUUUCAUUUUUUUUGUGCUGAGGAUCGACCCCAGUGCCUCACGCAUGCUACAUUUUACCACUGAGCCACAACCCCAGCCUGAAUAAUCAUUUUAAUGUGCUAUUGAAUUCAGGUUGCUAGUAUUUUGUUGAGUAUGUUUCCAUUAAUGUUCAUCGGGGAUAUUAACCUAUAAUUUUCUUCUCUUGCAAUGUUCUUGUCUUAUUUUGGUAUCAGGGCAAUGCUGGCCUCAUAAAAUCAAUUUGUAAAGAUUCUCAUAUCUUCAAUUUUGGGGGGAAGAAUUUGGGAAGGACUGGUAUUUGUCCUUCUUUAAAUGUCUGAUACAAUUCAGAAUGGAGUCAUCUGUCCUUGGAUGGGACAUUUUUUAUUAUUUAUUCAGUCCCAAAACUUACUAUUUGUGUGUUCACAUUUUCUAGUCUUUCAUGAUUCAUUCUUGUAGGUUCUGUAUCUCUAGGUAUUUAUUCAUUUCCUCAAAGUUAUCCAAUUUGUUGGAGUAUAAUUAUUUAUAAUAGUCUCUUACAAUUCUUUGUAUUUCUGUGAUAUUGGUUGUAAUGUCUCAUCUUUUGCUUCUCAUGUUUAAUAUGAGUCUUCUCUUUCUUCUUAGUCUAGUUAAAGAUUUGUUGAUUUAGGUUAACUUUUCAAAAACAAAACUUAAACAUUUUUGUUUUGUUUUCUUUCUGCAAUGGAGGUCUCACUACAAUACCCAGGCAGUCCCAAACUUCUGGGCUCUAAUGAUUUUCCCACUUUAGCCUCCCAAAGUCCUGGAUUUACAAGUAUGUACCACCAUACUUAAAAUUUAUCUCUUCUAUUGUCUUUCUAGUCUCUAUUUCAUUUAUUUCUACUCUGAUCUUUAUUAUUACCUUCCUUCUAUUAACUUUGUGCUUGGUUUGCUCCUUUUCUAGUUCCAUGAGGUGUAACUUCAGGUUGUUUAUUUGAAAUCUUAUUUUUAAAUGUAGGCAUUUAUUGUUAUAAACUUCCCAUUGGAAUGCUUUUGUUGUGUCCAUUUUCAUUUGUCUCAUAUUUUUAAACUUGCCUUUUAAAUUCUUUUUUGACCCAUUGGUUGUUCAGAAGUAUGUUGUUUAACUUACACAUAUUUGUGAAUUUCACAAAAUUCUUCCUGAUACUGAUUUCUAAUUUCAUCCCAUUAUGGUUGGAUCAAUUUUCUUAAAUUUUUAAAGUCCUUUUUUGUGGCUUAACUUAUGAUCUAUCUUGGAAAUGUUCUGUGUACACUCGAGAAAAAUAUGUAUUCUGCUAUUGUUGAAUUGAAUGCUGUGUAUACAUCUGCUAGGAUUAAUGUGUAGUUUGAUCUAAAGUGUAGUUUAAUGUCUUACAUUUCCUUAUUGGAAGUAUAUAUCAUCUGGAUAGUCUGUGCAUUGCUGAAAGUAAGUUAUUGAAGUCCAUUGUAUUAUUGUCUAUCUCACCCUUCAGAUCUAUUUGUGUGCUGAUGUUGGGUGCAUAUACAUUUAUAAUUGUUAUAUCCUUCUGGUGAACUGACCUCCUUAUCAAUAUAUAGUGAUCUUUUAUGUCUUGUUUUAUAGUUUUUGUCUUAAAUUCUAUUUUAUCUUGUUUAAGUAUAACCACCCUUCCUUUAUUUUGAUUUCCAUUUGGAUGGCACAUCUUUUUCCAUUCUUUCACUCUCAGUUUAUAUGUACCCUUAAAUAUGAAAUGAGCCUCAGACACAUCAGAUAAUCGGGCCUUAUUUUUAAAUCCAUUUAGUCACUUUAUGUCUUUUGGUUAGAGAAUUAAGUCCAUUUGCAUUCAGGGUAAUUAUAAAUAGGUAGGGAUUUAUCUACUGCCAUUUGCUUUCUGGUCGUUUUGUGAUCCUUUGUUUUCUUUUUCUUCUCUUGCUGUCUUCCUGAUUAGGUGAUUUUCACCAGUGGCAUUCUUUGAUUCCUUUCUUCUUGUCCUUUACAUAUCUAUUGUCAGUGUUUGCUUUGUUCUUACCAUGAGACUUACAUAAAACAUUUUUUAGUUUUAACAGGCUAUUUGAAGCUGAUGACUUGAGUUUGAUAAUAGAGAAACUUGUACUCUUGUACUCUUCACUUUCCCCACAUUUUAUUUUUUGUGUCACAGUGUACAUGGUUUGUAUUUGAACACCUUAUUGAGUUACUGUAGAUAUUAUUUUUAAUAGCUUUGUCUUUUAAACCUCAUAUCUUGUUUUGGUAUUUUUGUGCAUGAGUAGUUAUUCAAAUCAAUAUUUCUGUAGGAGGAUGAAUACUGGAGAAUCCUACUGCAUCCUCUUACUGAUAUUAGUCACUCAACAUUGGUUAUUAUUCUUAGUUCAGUUAUAGCAUUCUUUUCUUCACUUAUAGCCCAUAUUAAUGCUAAGAUUUGUAUUUGACUUUGCUUUUAAGAAAUGAUUGAACUAUCCUUUUUAAAAAUUCUGCACAUUUUUGCCAGAUUAUAUCAAAGUGAAUUCCAAUGUAUGCAUGCAAGUAUGUGGAUACAUGCAUCUGAUGAGAAGAUGUGAGAAUGAGAAGAAGACCCAGCAUUUAUUGAACAUUAUACCUCAGACACUUUGCUGGUGUUAUUUAUUGUUUGUAAUAGCAAAAACUAACGAGUCUAUUUCUGAAAAUAUUUUUGAAACUAGAUGCAAAAUUUUCUAGCAGAACUACAAACAAUUCUGCUGAAAGAAGGGGCCGUUCAGCCAUCCUCCUGAGGAAUUUGAGCUUGAUUUAAGUCUGAAGUAAAGAUUUGGAUUUAAUUUAAAAUUCUCUGCCAAAGACAUGACCUUCAAAUCUUUUCCAUGAAAUGUCUUUUAGAGCCUGAAAAACAAAUUCAACUCACAUGAGAAUGUAAAUCAAGUGAGAAUAUGAAAUCACAUAUGCUACCUACUGGCUCCAAAUAAGUUUGACAGCCACGUUUAGGUUAUAACAAACUUUGAGAUACCCAAAGAUGACCUUUUAUUUCAAGAUCUGAAAUGAUUAAAUGAUUAAAAUUGCUCUUUAAUAAUUAAAUAUGCCAUCUGUAUAAGACAGAGUGUGACCUUUCACCCAGGGUCUCCCAGGCUGUUCUAGAAUUUCUGCAGUUGGCACAUAUGGUAUCAGAAACCCAGUGCUAUUCUUCCUUUGAAAUAUUAGAGGAGCAGACUUAGAGCAGCUGUUUUUGUGCUGCCAGAUUUCAUUGAAAUGUGGGUUUUAAAAGCUCUUGGCUUGUCAUUUUGAGUUAGCAUACCUUAAUCACAAAUCUCACCAUAAUGUAAUUCAACUGAUGCCUGAAACUCAAUAUAGCGGAACAUUUGCUGAACAAUGCACUUAAUGUAACAAUAGCCAACCAGAAUGUAUGUUUUCCAUUGCAGUGUCCUUUCAUGUUAUAUGUGCCUUCAAAAUAUCUAAUAGAUUAUAAAUAUUCCUUUUUUUAUGGCAACAAAAUGCCAACAAUCUCCAUUACGCUGUUCCUCUCCCCCACUUCAUUGGGAAUAUAUAAGGAAAUACGACAUUUGAAGAGCUAUCUGCUUUAAGAUUUAGACACUGAUAGUACUACUUAAUGCAACCCUGUCAUUAAGCCAACUGCAGUAAUUAGAAAGCCAAUAAUGAGUUCACGUGUCUGUUUGUCUUAAUUGUCAUAUUAGACAACUUCCAUGGUUCAGUGAUCAACACUUACAAUGGUUGGAACAAAGGAAUAUACUGCAAUCACCAUAAACAAUUUCUGUGUGUGUCUGGGAGGUGGGGAUAUUGACCCUGGCUAUAAUAGUACUGGCUAAUUAACCUGGAGUUUUUUUUUUUUUAAAUCUGCUUACUUUCAACAGACUGUUUAUUUAAAAAUUCAACUGAGAGCCUAUAUUUGAGCAUUUUCAGUGUUGACUUUAAUGUCAUUUUUAGAGAUAAACUUGAUUCUUCACUUCCAUUUAAAGUCUUGUGUGGACUUUAAGUCAGACACGAAGUAAGCUAGUCUUAUUUUAAAAUACACUUCACAUUUUAUUUAUAAAAAUCAAACUGUGUGGAAGUUCUUUUAGAAUCUGUUAUUUGAAUUUUUUUCUCACAUAAAUUUAUAGCCAGGAAUCAUGAAAAAUUAUCCCAUUUGCUUUAUUGAAGCAUUUAUUGUACUCAGGAUUGGGAUUCAUUGUAUUGAAUUCCAGGUAGAAUACAUGACAUAAGUUUCAUUUGGCUUUUCUCCCCCCAGGAAGAUUUUAAGUCAUGAAGAUAGAUAAUGAGCAUGCACUCAUUUAUUUAUUUCAAGUGUUUUUUUUUUUUUAAAUGUGUUCCUCCUAUGAUGGGUGCAGGAAUAUUUACUACGCAUGGAUGAGGCAUUUAAGAAGUCAGUAUAUAAAAUAAGUAGCCAUAAUCCAGAAUGAUCGUGUGUAUGUGUAUGUGAGUAUGUGUGAGGAGGGCUGCCAGAGUGGGGAGAGAAGGAAGGAGAAAAGAGGACAAGAAAAUUCAAGGAAGAGAAGAGACAGAGGGCAAUUCCUUUUGUGAGGGGAAAGUAUGCUGGAUCGUCACAUUAAUCCUCUACUCCUAUUUUCUUUCUACAUCUGCCCCACCCUGCCCUUUGCAGAUCAUAUUACCUGAGAUUCUUUGCCCUCUGGCUUUGGGAGGACAGAUAGCAGGAGAAGAGAGGUCAUAGUAGUUACCCCUACUCUCUUAGCCACUUACUUCCUCUACCUUGUAACCACGGUUCCUGCUGGGCAAUCCUUAGGUUGUCUCUCAAUUUCACCUCUCCACUCUUAACUUUGUCCUCCAGUUCCAGGGCUGAGAAGAACCCCCCUUUCUUGUUAGUGCCUGGUGCUUUGCCAUCCUUUGUUCUUAUUACUCCUGCCAUACCUACAAGUGUGUUUCAUCCCUUCAUUGAAUUUUCUUCAGUUAACCCUCCUGUAUGGUCAGACUGACACAAACACAGAAUGUCCAAGAGGGUGAUAUGGAGGUCACUGUACUUUCCCAUUUUGAACAUACACAUAGAGGAGAACAAAGCUGGACUAAAACAGGCCAUUUCUGUUGCUACCAACAGAGGGCAUCGGUAGACAUGCUCAGACAUUUACAGCAAAUUGUUCUUUCCUUGAGUCUGUUGGCUACUUCUUUCUCUUUUAAACAAAUACCAACUCUUAUCUAUACCUGAUAAAUGCCAAAUCAGUGAAAGUGUUGAAAAUCGUUAUAAUAGGUAUUCAUUUGCUUAUGACUAAGGCAAAAACAGAGAUUACUUGAAAAAAAAAACACAGGGGGGAAAAAACAGAUUUCAGGUGAAUGAUUUUUUUUUUUUUUUUCACAGUAGCUACUCUGAAGGACAAAGAGUAAAUCAAAUGAUGACAGAAAAGUAUUGUUCCUGUUGUGGACUGAAUUGUGUCCCCUGCCAAAUGCAUAUGUUGAAGCCCCAACCCCCAAUAUGACUGUAAUUGGAUAUAUGGCCUUUAUAGAGCUAAUUAAGAUUACACAGGACUUAAGAAUGGGACCCUAUUCUAAGGGGACUGGUGUCCUUAUAGGAAUAAAAGGAGAAACCAAGAGUGGGUGUGCAUAGAGGAAAAGCCAUGUGAGGACACAGAAGGGCUAUCUACAAUUCAAGGAGAGAAGCCUCAGGAGAAAUCAGCAUUGCUAGAACCUUGAUCUUGGAUUUCUAGUUUCUAAAACUAUGAAAAAUAAAUCUCCAUUGUUGAAUACCAUGUUUGUAGUGAUAUUUCUUCUGGUACCCUUAGCAUACUAAUCAAUGACCAAUUAGUCCACAAUAGACUGAGGCAAUGGAAAAAAAGUUAAUUAUGUGUGGGUAAAUGAUUGCCUAGUUUUUUCAGAAUGUUUCCAUCAGUAUUUGUGUUUGGGUCCUUUAAGAAUCAUCUGCUAAAAUGGAAUUAGAAGUUUAUUUCUUGAGGAAACAGUUGGAAAAGAUAAAGGGGAGGGAACUAGUGACGGUGAAGAGAAACUUCAAACAGCAAUGCAGGUCUGACACAUAUGAAAGACAGAAGAAAUAAGAUUGACUUGGUAGUUUCAGGGUACAGAACAGUUCCAAGAAAGUUUCAAACAGAUUGAUGGGAGUCCUCACACCAAAAUAUCCCAUUGAAGGCAUUUUACAUUAGUAUCCCUGUCAUUUUUAGUCUUGACUGACAGCAGCUUAUAGGAAGCAUGGCCUUGGCAUGAAUUUAGUGGAGAAAUCUGAAGAACAGCAGCUGAGGUUGUGAGUCACUUAUGUUUUGAUAUGGACAUUUUCACGGCCAUUAUCCCAUAAUAUCAAGAUGGCUUUUAACAGCUAUGGAGACUGAAUUCUUCCAAGUUUGAACCCAGGGGAAGACGGUUUCUUUGUCCCAGCAGUCCUGGCAAAAUCCCUGAGAUUGUCUUGAAUUGGACUGUUUAUGUCAUGUGCCCAUCCUUGAAUCAUCAUGGUGCUGGGAAAAUUCUAAGCCCUGUUUAUUCAGGUUAAUUUUCAUGCUCUACUUCCAAGGAAGAAGUUGUAGCCCACUCGUACCAUGAGAACUGAGGAGUAGUGAGAGACAAAUUUCCCUAAUAAGUACAUUCCCUAUACAGAAUACAGGUGUUUUUUUUUUUGUUUUAAUUUUAAUUUGCUACCAGGUUACUUUGCAAAGACACUGUAGCAAUUCAUAGUUUUACCAAGGGCUAUCAUGAUCCUUUCCCUCCCACAUCUUCACCAGCAAUAUGUGUUAGCAUUUUUAAAUGUUUGUCUAUCUGGUGGAUGCAAAUGGAUUGUUCACCGUUACUCAAUUUAUAAUUUCCUAGUACUGGUGUUUAAUUUUUUUUUUGCAUUAUUUAUUCCUGAUUUGGUUUUGCUUUCCUGCAGAAGGCCUCUUUAAAUCCCUUGUGCAUUUUCCUAUUUUCUUUUUGUUGUUGUUGUUCUUGUCAGUUUAUAAGAGUACUUUUCAUAUUGUAGCUAAUAGUCCUCUAUCUGUUCUCUGCAUUACAAAUAGGCAAGGGACAAAUAGUUGAACUCUAUGCAUUUCUUUACUUUCUCCAUAUUUAUUGUCAAUAUUUGAUCCAAUUGCCCCCAAAUUAAUAGAUCAAUAUGCCAGGAAUGUGUGGGACAACUCUAUCAUUCUUUAUUUUAGUUUUCAGUACUGGGGAUUGAAUUUAGGGGCACUCUGCCACUGAGCAACAUCCCCAGCCCUCUUUAUCUUUUAGUUUGAGAGGGGGUCUCAGUUGCCCAGGCUGGCCUGUAGCUUGCCAUCCUCUUGCCUUACUCUCCCAUGUGGCUGACAUUACAGGUAAGCACCACGACCCCCAGCUCACUGUUCAUUUUUGAAAAAUGGAAAAAAAAUAAGCAGUGGUCAAGGACAAAGUUCUAUCAGCCACCCCUCCACACUCCUGCUGGACUACUAUUGCUCAAAUUUCAGCCAUUUUGGAACCUCCUUUCCAAUUCUUGCCAUAUCCUUAAACUAUGUACUGUUAUUUGUAUUUCUGACAUUUGAUUUUUUUAUAUAGAUUUAUUUUAAAAGGAAGUUCGCAUUGCUUCCAUUAUAUCAUUGUAAUACUAGUUAUAUUAAAAUGAUUACAAAGCUGUGGAAAAAGAUAUUCAUCUGCGUAGCACCUAAUACACACUGUACACUGAUUGGGAAACCCAUUAGAGUACAUCAAGAGGGUCACCAAACUAGUUAGGGACAAGAUGGAGGGUUUUCAGAACUGCAAGUUUCACACCAGCACUACAUCUCACCCCCAUGAGGUGGGCGUGGGUGGUGGGUUCAUUUACAUCAGAGGAAAGGCCACCAGAAAGGCGCAACUGCUUCACACGCUGUGGGUAGUGGAAUUAGAAUCAAGGCCUUUGUCAAAAAAUAACAACUUCUGAAAAAGAUGUGGACUUUGUAGGUAAACAGACCUAGAUCAAACCCAGGGGAUGCACUGUACGGGGGUCCAGGGGCCUGGAAGCCCUAGCCGAAUGCCCACGAGGAUUACAUUACCAACAUUCGGCAUUCUGGCCAAACUAUUAGGGGUUCUAAGAUUCUGCUAAUUAUGCUGAGGUCCAGGCUGGGAUGGGGAGGUGUCAGGAUCCCGGGCAGUGAUGGGUCACAAUCCCUGAGCAGAGUCCGCCUGUGCAAACCCUCACCCAGGGACGGCUACACUCCCACUGGCUAGAGUCGCCAGGCCUGAGGAGCCAUGUGCUGGCCGAGGACAUGGGGCCAGAUCUUCCUGCCGGUUUUACUUUCCCUCUUUCUAGUCCAACUGCUUAUCAGCUUCUCAGAUAAUGGUUUUUCCCAAAUGUACAGAAAAAGAAAGGAGGAGAAACAGAAACGAAAGUCUUCGAUUGAAGAAGGUGAGUGCACCGGACCUGAGGCAGUCUUUCCGGGACUGAGCUGUCCUAGCUCACUAAAAUGUCCAUCUCAGGAAAACUUCCACGUGGGGGCUGGGGUUGUGGCUCAGUGGUGGAAUGAUUGCCUAGCGCGUGUGAGGCACUGGUUCGAUCCUCAGCACCACAUAGAAGUAAAUAAGUAAAAUAAAGGUUUUGUGCCCAUCUACAACUUAAAAAAAAAUAAUCUUUUUAAAAAUUUCCAUUUGAUAUUUGGGCAAAGUCACUUUUAAAGGCUAGACAUUUUUGGGAGAAAACCCUAUUAAAUUGUACUCGAUUUGCUUUGUGGAUUAAAACAGGUUUAAAUUUGGGAAAGGGAUGUUUUUCUCCUUCUUUUGGCAUGACCUACAUAUAUCACAUAAACUUUAUGCUCUGAAUAAGCUGCUGAAAUUUAUUCUAAAAAGACCACAUUCAAUGACCAUAAUGGCUCCUUUUCCUUAAUGUUCUAAGUUCUUAGCUAAUAAAUUGCUUAAUUUGUUGUCUUUUCCCCCUCUUAAGAACUAAUUAUUUCGCUUUGAAAGCUUUCCUUUGUUUUCCUUCCCAACUGAAGAAAUUUUGAAAUGUUAAAAGUCAUGCUGAGUUGAAUUCAUGGACCUCAAAAUAAGGUUUAUAAUAUCUUAAAUUGGAAUUGUAUAGAUAGAAUAGAGAGAGAGAAUUACUCAGAAAAUCUUGGCCCUAUAAAGCCAAGAUUGCCAUUUUUAGGAAGACAGAAUAAUUACUGCUGUCUCAUUUCCAGAGUAUAAAAGAAUGCUAGCUAUGUGUAAGCAAAUCAGUCUUCCUUAUUAAAACCCAACCCACAGCUCUCAGCUUUGUACUGAAAUAAGAAUCUCCUUUGAGGGGGAGGGAGAGGGGAUGGGCAAAGACUGAAUCAAAGAAACUAUCUUGCUUCCUGUGUCUCAUUUUCUCCAUAGAUUUUUUUAUGCUCUUGAUCACUUCUAAACACAAUCCUAAACUGUGUUCCAGUGUCACUCUGGCCCCUUCUUAUAAACAUCACCUAGGAGCCUAAACCAAAGGGUAGAAACAAAUCUUUUCCUUGGUUGCCUAGCAAAAGGAGUCAUACAUACAGUGGAAUUUUUCAAAAGACUUUAUUAAAAUGCUGAAGAAGAACAACAACAAAAAAAAAAGUAAACAGACAAAACGAAUUUAAAAAUCACAGAUAACAGUCUGGUCUCCAGAGAUGAAAGUUUCUGAUUCUAGCUAGCUCAGCUGUAGGGCUGACCAACCCUGGUCCUUGCUUCUGAGGAAACAGCUUGAGUCAGCAAGUCAGGAGCUCCCAGAGAGUUUGCCUCCUAGCCUCAGGCAGGUUCCCCAUUGUGCUUGCACUUAACUUUCCCAUUUAACAAGGAUCUGGAUUCUUAGACAUCAUACUUUUCAUUUCCAACACCUAGAAACCCUCACUGAAAUCCUCACCUACACUGCUACUUGUGCUCUGAGUGACAGGUAACAGACAAGACUUUGUAGCAUUUCCCAUCAAGCCUUGAGUUUAGGUAAAUAUUUACUAAAAAGUGGCUUAGUUUAGUGACUGAAGUUGAAUUUUCAGGUUUAAGUAUUUCUGCCCCUAGCAGAAAUAGAAUUUGGGCCUUAUGCAGAAAUAUGAUAAAAAAACAAUUCUGGUAUUGAAAGGCCUGGAUCAAAUUCUACCUCUUCCAUGAUGCCUUCCUUGAUCUACCCAGUCUGAGUGAAUAGUUGAUUCUAUAUUUAGCUGUGCCUCUUUGACAAUUCCUAUUUCAUUCUGAAAGGCAGACCAAUGGCAGAGAUGAAAGGACAGAGGCUCUUAAUGCCUGGACUCACGGCCCAGCUUCGUCAUUUGCUAGGCCCAUAUAUACCAUGGCAGUUUUGUUAUCAGUAAAAUGAGAAUAGUGUCAUCCUCAAGUUGUCACUGUGAGGCUCAAAUGAGUUCAUACAUAUUAUGCAUUCACAAAACUGGUGCAUGUAAGUGCGUGUCUAGUUUUGGGGGGAAAAAGAUGAGGGCAAUAAGAAUCCCUGAAAAACAAAAAGCAAUUGAGACCAGACCGAUGGAAAAAAAAAAAUCACAAAUAGGAGAGGAUUAAAGUCCUUACAAGGCCAGCAGCUGUAAAUACAAAGAACCUUAGGGAAUAUGUAGAGCAACUUGUCAAGUAAUCUUGGAGCACUACUGCUGAUUGCCCCUCCACUUUCAAUUGUCUUAAGCAGCAGACAGUAGAAACAGCAGAGGCAACUACCCAUUAUUAGCAAUGAAUGUAAAUUCUUGGCCUAGAAAGCAAGCAAAAGAUAUAUAUGAUCUGCCUGGUACAGUGGUACACACUUGUAAUCCUUGGUUCCUAGGAGGCCGAGGCAGGAGAGUUGCAAGUUGUCUAUUUUUUCCAUAAGAAUAAAAAUCUUUAUUUGGGGUAACUUUUUAAAACUUUGGGCCAAAGAGUAUGGAGAAUUAUACUUUUUCAAUAGUUAAGAGACUAAUUAGUUAACCAGGAAUGUGUUGGCAAAAUUAUGCUGAAUAACAAAAGAGUUACUUAAAAGAGGUUUCUGAAGUAUGAUGUUGUAAAUAUACAAUGAUGUUCCAAUUUGUUUUUUCAUAUUUUUGGGGGGAAGUUGUUUUUUAGAACUUGGCUAAUGGAUGUGGGAUGAUGCCAUUUCUUGUUUUUUUGAGUAGCAGGAGGAAAUUACAGGAUUUAAACAGUGCUGGUGGGAAAAGUAUCUGGCUAUGUGAAAAUAACGAAGUAAAAUGUUUUCAUAUGGAUGAAUAUGGCUUGAAAGAGGAAUGACUAAAUGAAAUGCACUUUUUUAUAAAGUUGAGCAAUAAAUAGGCUUUUGAUUUACAUUUUUGUACUUAAUUUUUUUUUCUUGUAGCAUGUACUCAAAAGAAUAGUUGUCAGUUGUGCACAGAAGAUAAGAAAGUAAGUUAACUUUCUUAUGAGGCAAUUGUCUUGGGAAUGUUAUAAAUUCACACAUUUAUAAUUGUCAUCAAAAAGCUAUGCUAAAUGUUGUUUUAUACACUUUUUUAUAAAGGAAUAACUAAUAACAGUUACUAAAAUCUAUUUCUCCAUUUCAAAUCAUGCUUUGAGAGUCUAGAAAUAAAUAAUAGAAAUAAUUUAGAUGGAAUAUGUACUUUCUUCUAGAAUAUUAUAUUUUAGAAAGAAAACAAUUCUUGGCUUGAAAAAGAAAAUCACACUGAAAUUUUGGAAGAAGUUUUGGAAGAAAAGAAAAUAUGUCUUUUGAGAUUCAGUGAAUAUUUCCUUGCCAAUUCUAAUCCCUAAAUAAUAGAGUGUGACACACAGUUCCUAAGUGUAGCUAAGGUCCUCUUCUCUGAUGAUUAAAUGUCUGACAUCUUUAUUCUUCACUUCAGAUUUGGAAGAAAUUAGAAAUACCAGAGGCAAUGGGGGAAAUGGUAUUACUUGUGCCACAGAGAGCUUUGCAGCAACCCUUACAAAACCAUUCUAGUCUAAUCUAUAUUGGAGAAUUGACUAUUAACACCAAAGACAGAAGAAAAAACUCUAAUUAGCAAAGAGGACAUUCUAGUAAUUGGUAUCUGUCAUGGUGAUCUGCACAUACCACGAUGUGCCUCUUAUCUUCCUCCAGGUCACUCUUCUGCUUUAAUGAGGACUAGAGCUUCUUCUGGCUCAUGGAAUUCUUGGUCCAGUUUAUUCUCGGCCUUGGAAACUUUCUGAAGCCAGAAAAAGCUAGAAACACUCUAUCUCAGUGUCUUCACCUUCUCAACACCAUGCAUAGGAUAUCACUAUAGGAUAUCACUUCCACCACAUACUCUGAACCCUGCACAAUUUACACUGAACAUCACUUUCCCAUUUCCCAACAUGGUACCUACUCUUUGGACUUAACAAGAAAGAGUACUUUUCAGUCCUUUCACCCUCUCCUUUUUCCUUCAAGGUUAUUGACUCUUUCUUAAUGGACUUCCUUCCUUCCUUCCUUGUGAAUUUUCAUGGCUGUUCACCUGGAUGAGUAUUCUCCUGCUUUUUCAUUGCUAAAUAUUUUACACUGGAAAUGUUCAUGUAUAAAAAUAGAGAAAACAGAGCUAGGCACUAUGGUGUGUGACUAUAGUCCCAACUACUUGGGAGGCUGUGGCAGGCGGAUCACUUGAGCCCAGGAGUUCAAGGCCAGCCUAGUAACAUAGCAAGACCCCGUCUCAAAAACAACAAUAACCUGGCAUGAUGGUGCACUCCUAUAAUCCCAGCGGCUUGGGAGGCUGAGGCAAGAGGAUCAUGAGUUCAAAGCCAGCCUCAGCAAGUUAGCAAGGCCCUAAACAACUUAGUGAGACCCUGUCCCUAAAUAAAUUAUUUAAAAAGGACUGAAGAUGGGUUCAGUGGUUAAGUGCUCCUGGGUCCCUGGGUUCAAUCCCCAGUGCCAAAACAAAAACCUAACAAAAAGUGUACAUAUAUAUAUACACACAUACAUAUAUAUAUGUAUACACACACACGUGUGUGUGUGUGUGUGUGUGUAUGAGAGAGAGAAUAGUAUAAUAAAAUUUUAUACAUCCUAUACCUCCAAGAAUUAUCUCAGUCAACCUUGUUUCAUCUAUGCCCUCCCUCUCACAAUUGAUUAUUUUGAACUAAAUAAUGAUGUAGAUACCAUAUAAUUUAUUUGUAAAUAUAUAGGUAUGUAUGUCUAAUACAUAAGGUCUUUACUUUAAAAUAUUACAAGUCCAUGAUCACACCUAGAAAUUAACAGUGACUUCUUAAUAUCAUCAAGUUCCCAGGAAAUAACCAAUUAGCCUUGUUUCAUGUUUUUGUUUAGUUCAGAUAUAUAUGCUGAAACUGACUGCUAUAUAACUUAAGUUUCUUUUAAACUAUUUAUUCUUUUCCCUCUUUUUUUUUCUUUAUUACAACUUAAUUGUAAUAAAGAAGAAGCUGAAUUGUUUGUCCCAUUGGGUUUCCUACAGUCUGGGUUUUGCUGAUCACAUCCAGGUUCCUCUUUUUCCUGAUUUUUUUUCUUGGUACUAAGGAUUAAAUCCAGGGCCUUGCAUAUGCUAGGCAAACUGUCUACCACUAAACUAUGCCCCUGGCUCUUUUUAGUUUUAUUUUGAGACAGGAUCUCCUUAAGUUGUGCAGGCUGGCCUUGAACUUGUGAUCUUCCUACCUCAGCCUCCUGAAUAGCUGGGAUUACAGGUGUUCUCAGCUGUUCUGUUCUUAUAAACUGGUAAUUAGAUAUAGAGGAUUAAUAAAGUUCAGUUUAAUUUUUUGGCAGGAAUAUUUCACAUUGAAAACUUUUAUUGAAUGGUGAAUGAGGACUGUUGUUUAGCAUUUGAUGAUGCAAGCAGCCAAAAAUGAUUCUUGCCUGGAUCCAUUUUAUUCUUGGGGGUUGCAGCAACAAAUACUACUUUAAUAGCCUUGCCCUCUUAUUUUUAACUGUGCUGGAUCUAUAUUUCCCAGCUCUGAUGGGUCCUUCAGUCUAUGUAUUCAUUUACUGUGCAUUUUUGUUAGCUGAUUGCUGCUCAAGCAUAUAUCAUGAGAAUCUGCAUUAGUACCAUUACAAAUUCACAAUUUCUGGGUUCACCUGAGCCCAAAUGCUACUCAGUACUUGCCUUUGGUUGGCAGCGUUUCCUAAAAUUCCCCAUAGCAGUAAUUUCAAAACUUUGUGACCAUCUUUAAAGGUCCAAUCUUAUCCCACACCCCAUUAAUCUACAUAAAAAUAGAGACUUUAGGUAUAAACUUCACUCCCCAAAUCAAUACAUUUACUGUCAUUUUUUUACCCACCCUUACCAUUCCUCUUAGAAGAUUACUCCUUCUGUUCCCCUACACCUCUCUUUUGAACUUACAUACAUUUUUAAAUUGUAACUUGUAUCAUAUAAAUUGUUUUUGUUCUCACUUUCCCUCUGUUCUCAGUUCCCUGGACUGUCUAUGUUUUAGUCAUCUUUGCAUCUGUAACACUUCACAUAUUUCCUAGCACCUGCAAGCAUUCAGUAACUACUGAAUUAACUCAAGCCAUUAGAAGAAGUUAAAUUACAUUUAGUACACUGUAUAAUGGAAAAAGGUCGAUAAUUUUAUCCUAAAACUUUUCUAAACGUAAGUGUCUAUAUGGCAAUUCUGGGGAUAUAUGUAUUUGAAUGUAGUUUUUAAAAUAUUACCAGUACCUCAUAGAAAUUAACUGAAGGAUAAUUCCCAUAGUCAACAUAGAAUUAGGGUAUCAUCUUUUGAAAAAGAUUCCCUGUCCUCCCCCAAUUUGGAAGGACACAGGCUUUCACUGACAGCUCUUGCCACCUCCCAUACUCCCAGAGAGUGCCAGGAUUUAUAGAUGGUAAUUCAUGAAGCAACCAAGAAUACUUGAGUUCUUCUUGGACUAAAAAAAGGAUGAACAGAUGUUGUGAUAUGUCUGGGACUGUCCUACUUUAUGUCCUUUGCUUCAUUGACCCAGAGAAAUUAUUUAUACCCACUGCUAGUUUCCCAAAGUAUUCUACUUAGAAUGAUAAAUUAUAUGCUUAUCUUUCUUAGCUGUAAGAGAAUAUUAACUGGAUCCAAUCUAAAACUUUUCCUUGAAAUUAAAAAGUGUAGGCAGACCUUCUUAAGAGUUAGAAUAUAUUCUUACCAAAACCAAAUCCACAAAAAAGCAACUCAUUCAUAACCCUACCUCACAACACAUUAGUCAUAAAUACACCACGUGAAAAGAAAAUUUUUGUUGAUAUAUUCUCCUCCAUUAUUAAUAAAAUUUCUAAAGCCAUACUGACUAAAACAGGCUAAACACUGCUUUACUUGGAUCCUCAUUGCUAUUUAGAGUUGUUAUGCAUCACUGUGAAAUCCUUUAAAUAGUUAUUAAUUGUGAUGUUACAAUGGUGAGACUGUCAUAAAUAAUUUUUAUUUUUUGCUAAUGAGAGUUAUAUGACUGAGUUUUGCAACUGACUUUAAAAAUAAGAGUAGAUCCUAGGCUUUCUUCAUAAUCAAAUCUUUCUACUUAUUGCAUCCUGAUAUGGAUUAUUAGGACAGAAAGGUGUGAAGUUACAACAAACCUAAUGGACUUGUGAAUCUCCCACAGUCUACCUUAUCUAUUUAAUAGUUCAAAUAAAAUGACCAUGUUUGUAAAAUAUAAAUGCCACAACUCCUACCCAACAACGAUACCCAUUUUGUUAUCUAUUUUUCUUUAAAAGUAUGUGUACAUAGGCACAGAUGCUUGUGAUAGUUAGGACAUGGGGUAGGGGAAGGUGAAUAGGGCUAUGGAUCCAAAUCUGGAUAUGCCAGUGUGUAUGUGGGUAUCACCUGUCAAAAGUCCCUAGGUGGAUGGGGUGGGAACCAGUCUCAAGGAUUAUUUUCCAUGGCACUAUUCCCAACACCUUCAACACCUUUCCUUAAUCUUGGUACGACACUUCUUCUGAAGUUUGAUUUUCCUUGAGAAUGUUAAGGCCAUUUGUCAGGCUCAGGUUCUAUUAUUAUUAUUAUUAUUAUUAUUUUCACCAACUCAAUGUCUUUUCUCUUACUCUUUCCCUUUAAGAAACCUAUUUUCAUUCCCAAGGCUAACCUCUUAGUCUUUGCCUCAUGCAAGCAUUCCACUCAGAAACAUGCACAUUCACAAACUCAAAGCCUUUCUCAUUUUCUUGUUGCCUCUCUGACAAAUCCAGUCUAAAUCCAGUCUCUGCAAUGUCUUUCUUUCUGAGUUCUGACAAAAUGUGGUGGUGGUGGUGGUGGGGGGGGGGACACACACACAUUAAAAAAAACCACUUUUUUUUUUAAUAGCUAUAGUAUUUAUUCUACCACUGCUUGUCAUGCAGUGUGACUGAAUAUUUAACAAACUGUUUUAAAGGUUACCAAAAAACUCUCUAAAACCCUAAUCUUUCUAGUUAGGCACUCAUCAUUCUGGAAACUUGCUCCUUCCCUGGUGAUCUUCACUUUAUGCAACUACCCUUGCCAACCCUUCUUAUUUAUAUUUCUACCUGAGAGCACAUCCUAGUACUGUGUCCUCAUCCCUGUGCUAUCCCAACUGGUCAUGGCUUCCAUGAUUAUGUAAGUAUCAAGAAACCCCAAAUUCAUGUUCUUAGAUCUAACAGCUCCUGGUAGUCAUGAUUACAUUGCUUGAUCAACAAUUAUUCUUGGAUAAUUUCUUUUAUCACCUCAAGCUCAAGGUAUCUAAAGCUAGAUUUAUGAUUUUGUCUCCCACAAAUAUGCUCAUUUCCCAUAUUUAUUACUGGUACCAUUCUCCAUACCCAUAUAAUAAUUUUAGAAAUCUCUAGCUCCUUUGUCUUCUUUAAAGAAUCUAUGGUCCAUUCUUUUCUUUCAGCUGAUUGCUGGACUUCCCACACCCCUAUCCCACUACUGCUUAUCCCUCCAGGCCCUUUUGGUUUAUUGUUGUCAUUUAACACUCUUUCAUGUUCACCUUUAGCUGCAAAUAAUUCAGUUAUUAAGAUGAAAUGCUCCUUAUUCUAACAUUCAGGACCCAUCACAAUCCAAGAGAAGAUGAUCCUUCCAAAUUAUUCUAUACAACUCCACCAUAGCAGACUUUCCCUCUUGCCAUGUGGCAAGAUUUUCAUGCUGUCAUAUCUUCUGUAUUCAAGUCCCUCCUUUUCUGUACACAUUUGACCCACUCCUCAAAACUUAGGCCAACCUCUCCUUAUUCUUUGAAAGAAACCUGUGUAGUCACUCCAGCUAAAAGUGAGCUCUCCUCUUAAUUCCUAUUACAUUUUGUACAUGUUCCAACACUUUGAGAGAAUAUUCUUCCACUUAGAAUUGUAUGUAAUUUUGUAAAGUGUACAUAUUUUACCCACCCAUUAAAUUGACCCUCCAGAAAACAAAAACAGUGCUUUGUACACCUGUAAUCUCUUCUGCAUCUAACAUUUGCCAAUAUAUAUCCUGUAAAUGCUCUUUUUUGUGUUCAGUGUCCACUGUUUUCAAAUCCCCCUUUGCAUAAUAAUACUCAUUUUCUAUUUCUUUGCCAAUAUAAUAUUAAGCCAUUUUAUACAAUGUUAACAAACUACUAAACAUAAUUGUGUACCUUCCCCUUUUGCAAUUUUUUAAUUUCAGUGAUAUUUCUUCAUAAAAUAGAGAUUUCAAUGUCCAUAUAAGCUUACUAAAACAGGCUUAUACCCUAAAUUGGGUACUCUAAUUUUCCUAAAGGGCAAUUAUAAUAAUUACCCUAAAGCCUUUCAGCUGGCUUCUCAGUUGUUACACUAAUAAGAGAUGGGAGGUUGGUAAGAACUCAUAUAGGUCUUCUUCCUUACCUACAAGAGAAAGAUCCUUGUAAUUUGUCCUAAAUUAUACAUUACCAGUCUCAGGAUGUUGAAUAUGUUAUAAUUUUCCUCUGGACAAUGAGUAUGAAGUUGUCAUUUUUGAGGACAUUUUAGACUUAGUCAAGAUAGUUAAGGUAUCACAUUUUUGUUGUGGUAAGUGGGAGAAGCCAAUGCAAACUAAUUUAAUCAAAAGGGGAAUUCACUGGCCCAAAAAAUUGGGUAGCCUUAUUUCAUGUUCAGUUGAAUCUCAAAGGAUAUUAUUUGCAUUUCUCUUUCCUUUCCUCUCUCCUGUGUAUUGACCUCAUUUUCUCCCACAGUAAAUGGACAUUCUCCAUACAGCUGUAGAAGAGGCUGGCUGCCAGCAAAUAUCUCCCAAUGUCUGUAUAUAACUCUGAAGAAGAAUAUAAUUGGCCAUAUUUGGACCUAUGUUCAGUCCAGCACUAGCUACUGGGCCAAAGUCUAUGCUACUCUUGAGUGCCCUGGUCAAAUGACCACUCUAAUAGUAGGAAAUGGGUAAGGCAAAGAUGACUGACAGCUAGCUGCAGGAUCAUACAGAAUUAGGGAAAGAGUUUCACAAAGGAUAAGGGUAUGAUUAUCAGAAAAAGGAGAAUAGGAAUGCAAAACAGAGAAUAUUUUAAAAGAAAAGGAAUAAAACUACUUCAAUCUAUGGUAUUUCACCCUUUUCCCGGUCAGAGUAUGAGUAUUUUAUUUUCUUCAUUUCCAUAUUUUGAAAAGUGCUCCUAGAAAAUUAAUGCCACUAAGUCUCAACUAAAAUUGGACUGACCUCAAGUCACUGUCAAGGUCUAAGUCUGGAAUCUCAGAGAGAUGUGUUACUCUUGAAUUAUGCUUGAAUAUGGCUCCUUAGGCUUUGUUCCUUUGAGUCAGAAUCAGUUAAAUCAACUCCCAAAGACCCAAUAUUCAAUAGAAAAGAGAAAGCAGGAUAACAACAGUAAAACCUCUCAUUUAGAAGACACCAUAGUAGUCAGUGGUCCUGUAUCAUUUUGAGUCUAUAAUAUACUCUGUUGAGUUUCCCUGGCUGAGAAGUGAGUUGGUUGGUCACCAGUCAGUCUGCCCCACGCUUGGUCUAUUGAAACAGCUCCCUUUUCCUUUUCCAGUGUUCUCAGGGACCCAGUAGAGAGAAGUAUAGGAAAGAAAGCCUUCUCUGAGCACUGUGCCGCUAUCAGAGCUUCCCUGCUGUAGACUAGGUUACUGGAGCCUGGGAAUCAGCUCAGCAAUUGAGUUACCACAUAUUCCUCUCUGCUGGGUUCAAGUUUAUUCUGGAAAUUUAUCUUCCUUAAAACUCUGCUAGAUGGAAUGGGCUUGAUUUUUCAAAACUCUGAGAACUAACAACCAAGACUAGAAGUCUCUCUAUAAGAUAGUCCUUGAGGGCUGGGGUUGUGGCUCAGUGGUAGAGCACUCGCCUUUCAUAUGCGAGACCCUGGGUUCGAUCCUCAGCACCGCAUAAAAAUAUAUGAAUAAAAUAAAGAUAUUGUGUCCAACUACAACUAAAAAAUAAAAAAAUGGAUAGUCCUUGAAUCUAGGUCUUAUCUUUGCAGUUUCAGUCUUUAAGCAAUGGUCUAAGAAUACAGGACCCAUUCAGCCUUAGUGGCUUCCAUCCAAGAUUUGCUUAAAUGACUUGACCUUUGAUCUUGACCAACAUGAAAAAAAAAAAAAAAAAACUUUAGCCAUCUCUUGUUCUCAAGCAGUGUGUCUGGGGUAGUUCUUUACAUUGGGUGAAUCAUUACCUUUCCUGGUUUUAGGAUGUAUAGCAAGAGGUGAUUGGAAGGGACUUGGAACCACUCUUACAGAAUUGGUUACCAGCACAGAGCCAGGCUGCUUAGCUUCCAAUACAAACUCUCCUAUUUACUAGCCCUGUGACCAUAUUGUAUAAGUCAUGUAGUUGCUGUGUGCCUUAUUGUCCUCAUUUAUAAAGUGGACAUAAUGGUAUCUAGCACACAAAGUUUUCAAAAGGAUGGAGUGAGAAUGCGUGAAAGACAGAACAAUACCUGUCACAUGGUAGUUCCUAUGUGACAGCCAUUUUUACCACUCUGUCCUUUUUUUUCUUUUUUUUCAACUGUUUCUUAUAAUAGUUUCUAAUAAUAGUUUUCACCAUUGUGCCUUUUUUUCAUUUACUUCAGCAAGGGACUUCAGCUUUCUUAUUUACACAUGAUUACUUGACCACCAAUGAGCAGAAGGCAGAGGGAGGUGAGAUAAGCCUAAUUGAUAACACCACCAGGGCCAUGGUAACAGAGAAAGAUUCCCCAGAGGAAAGAGUGGUUUCUGCAGACAAGGGGAAUAGGAGAGUAUUGGAGACAUUUUUAAAAACUAUCUAAUGCAGCCCUUAUUACUGCUUUGUGACAUAGUAUCUUGGGUUUAAAUGCAGAGUCUGAGAAAGGGAUCCAGAUCCAUGCAAUUUUUCAGUGGCUGUUCAUUAGCAAAAUCCCAUGAAGAUAUGAAGGAUUCAGGAAAACAAGGGAUGAGAGCCAAGAAAAGAUAGGGUCUCAGCUAAAGCCCACAUUUGCCCUGAAUCAUGGACAGCUUUUGAGGAAAAAGAAAAAAAAAAUCAGGGGCUGGGGCUAUAGCUCAGUGGUAGAGCACCUGCCCCUCAGGUGUGAGGCACUGGGUUCAAUCCUCAACACCACAUAAAAAUAAAUAAAUAAGGAUAUUGUGUCCAUUUACAACUUAAAAAAAAUCACAUAGCAGAAUUGUCCCUGACUUAGGCAAGGAUGCUUAUGGUUUUGAACUCCAUACCAGUCAGUUACUGGUCCAGGGUGAGGAUAAUCUCAAGAGCAAGGUGAUCCUCAUCUACCAAGGGGAGUCAAUCAAGAGCAGGGAAAUUUGUGAGUCAAUCACAGACAAAAUUUAUUGCAGCUGAGGUUUGAGUGCUUGGGCCUGGUAAAGAAGACAUGGGAAGGCCACCAAUAACAUGUACUACAAAUAAUAAAUCAUGACGAUGAUGAUGGCUGUUAUUUAUUGAAUACUUACUGUGAUUGGAUUAUAAUAUGUGGACACUGCUUUGAUUAUUAUUAUUUUCUUUCUAAAUACAGUGUAUUUGGUGCAAUGAAGAAAAGGUUUGCAAAAAAUUUUGUUUUCCAUUUGCUGGGUGUCCAUUCAAUUCUAUAUUUUGGUCAAACUGUAAAGGUGAGUUUUCCUUAAAUUUAUAUGUACUUUAUUCCACCAACUUGCAAGUAGUAGUGAUUUGCUAAUUUGAAGCAUUUAAAACUAUCCUAUUUACUUUAUUAAAACAGCAAAUCCAGG
rnacentral:lncRNA from 1 species